rnacentral:rRNA from 1 species
GACGAACGCUGGCGGCGUGCUUAACACAUGCAAGUCGAACGGAAAGGCCCUGCUUUUGUGGGGUGCUCGAGUGGCGAACGGGUGAGUAACACGUGAGUAACCUGCCCUUGACUUUGGGAUAACUUCAGGAAACUGGGGCUAAUACCGGAUAGGAGCUCCUGCUGCAUGGUGGGGGUUGGAAAGUUUCGGCGGUUGGGGAUGGACUCGCGGCUUAUUAGCUUGUUGGUGGGGUAGUGGCUUACCAAGGCUUUGACGGGUAGCCGGCCUGAGAGGGUGACCGGCCACAUUGGGACUGAGAUACGGCCCAGACUCCUACGGGAGGCAGCAGUGGGGAAUAUUGCACAAUGGGCGGAAGCCUGAUGCAGCAACGCCGCGUGCGGGAUGACGGCCUUCGGGUUGUAAACCUCUUUCGCCUGUGACGAAGCGUGAGUGACGGUAAUGGGUAAAGAAGCACCGGCUAACUACGUG